rnacentral:lncRNA from 1 species
CCCGAUUUGGACCAACUUGAAAACUGGGCCAAUAAUCAAGAAUCUAAGUACAUUUUUAGAUUCAGCAUAUCAAAGAACUAACUGAUUCAUUUUUUGUCAAAAUCAAACUAAGUUUAAUUUUGGACCCUUUGGACCUUAAUGUAGACCAAUUUGAAAACGGGACCAAAAGUUAAGAAUCUACAUACACAGUCAUGACAGUUAGAUUCAGC